rnacentral:rRNA from 1 species
GUAGGGAAUCUUCCACAAUGGGCGCAAGCCUGAUGGAGCAACACCGCGUGAGUGAAGAAGGGUUUCGGCUCGUAAAGCUCUGUUGUUAAAGAAGAACACGUAUGAGAGUAACUGUUCAUGCGUUGACGGUAUUUAACCAGAAAGUCACGGCUAACUACGUGCCAGCAGCCGCGGUAAUACGUAGGUGGCAAGCGUUAUCCGGAUUUAUUGGGCGUAAAGAGAGUGCAGGCGGUUUUCUAAGUCUGAUGUGAAAGCCUUCGGCUUAACCGGAGAAGUGCAUCGGAAACUGGAUAACUUGAGUGCAGAAGAGGGUAGUGGAACUCCAUGUGUAGCGGUGGAAUGCGUAGAUAUAUGGAAGAACACCAGUGGCGAAGGCGGCUACCUGGUCUGCAACUGACGCUGAGACUCGAAAGCAUGGGUAGCGAACAGGAUUAGAAACCCCAGUAGUCC